AUUGAACGCUGGCGGCAUGCCUUACACAUGUAAGUCGAACGGCAGCACGGGUGCUUGCACCUGGUGGCGAGUGGCGAACGGGUGAGUAAUACAUCGGAACGUACCUUAUCGUGGGGGAUAACGCAGCGAAAGCUGUGCUAAUACCGCAUACGCCCUGAGGGGGAAAGCGGGGGAUCGCAAGACCUCGCGCGAUUAGAGCGGCCGAUGCCUGAUUAGCUUGUUGGUGGGGUAAAAGCCCACCAAGGCGACGAUCAGUAGCUGGUCUGAGAGGACGGUCAGCCACACUGGGACUGAGACACGGCCAGACUCCUACGGGAGGCAGCAGUGGGUAAUUUUGUACAAGGGGGGCAACCCUGAUCCAGCAAUGCCGCGUGAGUGAAGAAGGCCUUCGGGUUGUAAAGCUCUUGUGUCAGGGAAGAAACACCGGCUCUAACACAGUCCGGGAAUGACGGUACCUGAAGAAUAAGCACCGGCUAACUACGUGCCAGCCGCCGCCGUAA
rnacentral:rRNA from 1 species